AGACCAAAGAGGGGGACCUUCGGCCCUCUUGCCAUCAGAUGUGCCCAGAUGGGAUUAUCUAGUGGGGGGGGUAAUGGCUCACCUAGGCGACGAUCCCUAGCUGGUCUGAGAGGAAGACCCCCCACUCUGGAACUGAGACACGGCCCACACCCCUACGGGAGGCAGCGGGGGAAAAUUUUGCACAGGGGGCGCACCCCUGAUGCCCCCAUGCCGCGUGUAUAAAAAAGGCCUUCGGUUUGAAAAGUACUUUCCGCGGGGAGGAAGGGAGUAAAGUUAAUACCUUUGCUCAUUGACGUUCCCCGCAAAAAAAACCCCGUCUAUCCCCGCGCCCGCCCCCGCGAUAAUACGGGGGGUGCACGCGUUAAUCAGAAUUAGUGGGCGAAAAGCGCACGCGCGCGCUUUGUUAAGUCAGAUGUGAACUCCCCGGGCUCAACCUGAGAACUGCUUCUGAUACUGGCGAUCUUGACUCUCGUAGAGGGGGGUAAAAUUCCAGGUGUAGCGGAGAAAUGCAUAGAUAUCAGGAAGAAUACCGGUGGCGAGGGCGGCCCCCUGCACAAAGACUGACGCUCAUGUGAGAAAGCGUGGAGAGCAAAAAGAUUAUAUACCCUGAUACUCCACGCCGUAAACUAUGUCUACUUGGAGGUGUGCCCGU
rnacentral:rRNA from 1 species